rnacentral:rRNA from 1 species
GAUGAACGCUGGCGGCGUGCCUAAUACAUGCAAGUCGAGCGAACGGACGAGAAGCUUGCUUCUCUGAAGUUAGCGGCGGACGGGUGAGUAACACGUGGAUAACCUACCUAUAAGACUGGGAUAACUUCGGGAAACCGGAGCUAAUACCGGAUAAUAUUUUGAACCGCAUGGUUCAAAAGUGAAAGACGGUCUUGCUGUCACUUAUAGAUGGAUCCGCGCUGCAUUAGCUAGUUGGUAAGGUAACGGCUUACCAAGGCAACGAUGCAUAGCCGACCUGAGAGGGUGAUCGGCCACACUGGAACUGAGACACGGUCCAGACUCCUACGGGAGGCAGCAGUAGGGAAUCUUCCGCAAUGGGCGAAAGCCUGACGGAGCAACGCCGCGUGAGUGAUGAAGGUCUUCGGAUCGUAAAACUCUGUUAUUAGGGAAGAACAUAUGUGUAAGUAACUGAGCACAUCUUGACGGUACCUAAUCAGAAAGCCACGGCUAACUACGUG